CUCCCUCCCGAAUGAACCCACACCAAUCGGCUCCCCUGGCUCUACCCAUCCCAAUCUGGUCGACGCCACAAUCUCGCCACCAAAUCCGGCGUCGUCCACUUCCUCUUCCAAUCUUGUGAGCUGCAGUCCGCCACCACCGAUGCCGCCCGGUUCCCGUCCGAAACCUGCCACUUGCGACGGACCGAGGCCGCCGAAGCCGGCGACCAAAAGAUUCGAAGCAGCCGCCCGGAGCUACUUCACCCUUGACGUUGAGGAUGGCGUGGGCCUGAGCUCCUGGCCUUCCCGGGUCCGUCGCCGCUGGGCUCGUUCCUAUUGCUGAUGUGUGCUGAAUAUAACUUGGAUUCCAUGGAUGAUGAUGAGAUUCUGGCGGUAGUGUUUAACCUUCCAAGAAUCACACAAGCAUAUCGUCGUCUUCGGGGACGCCUUUCCUGGCGGUAGUGUUUAACCUUCCAAGAAUCACAUAAGCAUCAUGUCAUAAUGCAGCUGAACCUGAGCGAUGAUGAUAUUCUUUCAAGUUGAUGCGCCUUCUCAUGGACACCAACCCUGCAAUUUUGUAUUGGGGAAAUACACUGUUUGCUUGAUUGAUAGGUAUGCAAUAGCACGACUCUUCGAAUUACAGGGGCAAUAUGUUUUAUAAGACAAGCUAUAAUUGCUCAAGCUGAAUCCUUAUUGUAGAAAAUUAAAUUUCCAACA